rnacentral:rRNA from 1 species
UUGGACCUACGGGAGGCAGCAGUGAGGAAUAUUGGUCGAUGGGCGCGAGCCUGAACCAGCCAAGUCGCGUGAGGGAAGACGGUCCUAUGGAUUGUAAACCUCUUUUGUCGGGGAGCAAAAGAUGCCACGUGUGGCGUUCCGAGAGUACCCGAAGAAAAAGCAUCGGCUAACUCCGUGCCAGCAGCCGCGGUAAUACGGAGGAUGCGAGCGUUAUCCCGAUUUAUUGGGUUUAAAGGGUGCGCAGGCGGAAGAUCAAGUCAGCGGUAAAAUU